AGCGGACGCUGGCGGCAGGCCUAACACAUGCAAGUCGAACGAAGUCUUCGGACUUAGUGGCGGACGGGUGAGUAACACGUGGGAACGUGCCCUUUGGUACGGAAUAACUCAGGGAAACUUGAGCUAAUACCGUAUGUGCCCUUCGGGGGAAAGAUUUAUCGCCAUUGGAGCGGCCCGCGCCUGAUUAGCUAGUUGGUGAGGUAAAGGCUCACCAAGGCGACGAUCAGUAGCUGGUCUGAGAGGAUGAUCAGCCACAUUGGGACUGAGACACGGCCCAAACUCCUACGGGAGGCAGCAGUGGGGAAUCUUGCGCAAUGGGCGAAAGCCUGACGCAGCCAUGCCGCGUGAAUGAUGAAGGUCUUAGGAUUGUAAAAUUCUUUCACCGGGGACGAUAAUGACGGUACCCGGACAAGAAGCCCCGGCUAACUUCGUGCCAGCAGCCGCAGUAAGAC
rnacentral:rRNA from 1 species